rnacentral:rRNA from 1 species
AAGGUCACGGCGAGACGAGCCGUUUAUUAUGACGAUAGGUGUUAAGUGGAAGUGCAGUGAUGUAUGCAGCUGAGGCAUCCUAAUAGACCGAAAGGUUUGAAC